rnacentral:rRNA from 1 species
CCUACGGGUGGCAGCAGUGAGGAAUAUUGGUCAAUGGACGAGAGUCUGAACCAGCCAAGUAGCGUGAAGGAUGACUGCCCUCUGGGUUGUAAACUUCUUUUAUAUGGGAAUAAAAUGUUCCACGUGUGGGCUUUUGUAUGUACCAUAUGAAUAAGGAUCGGCUAACUCCGUGCCAGCAGCCGCGGUAAUACGGAGGAUCCGAGCGUUAUCCGGAUUUAUUGGGUUUAAAGGGAGCGUAGGUGGGUGGUUAAGUCAGUUGUGAAAGUUUGCGGCUCAACCGUAGAAUUGCAGUUGAAACUGGCAGUCUUGAGUGCAGUAGAGGUGGGCGGAAUUCGUGGUGUAGCGGUGAAAUGCUUAGAUAUCACGAAGAACUCCGAUUGCGAAGGCAGCUCACUGGACUGCAACUGACACUGAGGCUCGAAAGUGUGGGUAUCAAACAGGAUUAGAUACCCCUGUAGUC